GGUGGCUCAGUGGUAGAGCACUUGCCUGGCAUGCAUGAGGCCCUGAGUUUGAGUCCUCAGCACCA
rfam:Dipodomys ordii contig_11906, whole genome shotgun sequence.